AUUGAACGCUGGCGGCAUGCCUUACACAUGCAAGUCGAACGGCAGCACGGGUGCUUGCCCCUGGUGGCGAGUGGCGAACGGGUGAGUAAUACAUCGGAACAUGUCCUGUAGUGGGGGAUAGCCCGGCGAAAGCCGGAUUAAUACCGCAUACGAUCUACGGAUGAAAGCGGGGGACCUUCGGGCCUCGCGCUAGAGGGUUGGCCGAUAGCUGAUUAGCUAGUUGGUGGGGUAAAGGCCUACCAAGGCGACGAUCAGUAGCUGGUCUGAGAGGACGACCAGCCACACUGGGACUGAGACACGGCCCAGACUCCUACGGGAGGCAGCAGUGGGGAAUUUUGGACAAUGGGCGAAAGCCUGAUCCAGCAAUGCCGCGUGUGUGAAGAAGGCCUUCGGGCUGUAAAGCACUUUUGUCCGGAAAGAAAUCCUUGGCUCUAAUACAGUCGGGGGAUGACGGUACCGGAAGAAUAAGCACCGGCUAACUACGUG
rnacentral:rRNA from 1 species